rnacentral:rRNA from 1 species
AUUGAACGCUGGCGGCAGGCCUAACACAUGCAAGUCGAGCGGAUGAAGGGAGCUUGCUCCUGGAUUCAGCGGCGGACGGGUGAGUAAUGCCUAGGAAUCUGCCUGGUAGUGGGGGAUAACGUCCGGAAACGGGCGCUAAUACCGCAUACGUCCUGAGGGAGAAAGUGGGGGAUCUUCGGACCUCACGCUCUCAGAUGAGCCUAGGUCGGAUUAGCUAGUUGGUGGGGUAAAGGCCUACCAAGGCGACGAUCCGUAACUGGUCUGAGAGGAUGAUCAGUCACACUGGAACUGAGACACGGUCCAGACUCCUACGGGAGGCAGCAGUGGGGAAUAUUGGACAAUGGGCGAAAGCCUGAUCCAGCCAUGCCGCGUGUGUGAAGAAGGUCUUCGGAUUGUAAAGCACUUUAAGUUGAGAAGAAGGGCAGUAAGUUAAUACCUUGCUGUUUUGACGUUACCAACAGAAUAAGCACCGGCUAACUUCGUG